rnacentral:rRNA from 1 species
GAUGAACGCUGGCGGCGUGCCUAAUACAUGCAAGUCGAGCGAACAGACGAGGAGCUUGCUCCUCUGACGUUAGCGGCGGACGGGUGAGUAACACGUGGAUAACCUACCUAUAAGACUGGGAUAACUUCGGGAAACCGGAGCUAAUACCGGAUAAUAUAUUGGACCGCAUGGUUCAAUAGUGAAAGACGGUUUUGCUGUCACUUAUAGAUGGAUCCGCGCCGCAUUAGCUAGUUGGUAAGGUAACGGCUUACCAAGGCGACGAUGCGUAGCCGACCUGAGAGGGUGAUCGGCCACACUGGAACUGAGACACGGUCCAGACUCCUACGGGAGGCAGCAGUAGGGAAUAUUCCGCAAUGGGCGAAAGCUUGACGGAGCAACGCCGCGUGAGUGAUGAAGGUCUUCGGAUCGUAAAACUCUGUUAUUAGGGAAGAACAAAUGUGUAAGUAACUAUGCACGUCUUGACGGUACCUAAUCAGAAAGCCACGGCUAACUACGUG